rnacentral:rRNA from 1 species
GACGAACGCUGGCGGCAUGCUUAACACAUGCAAGUCGAACGGAAAGGCCCUGCUUGCAGGGUACUCGAGUGGCGAACGGGUGAGUAACACGUGGGUGAUCUGCCCUGCACUUCGGGAUAAGCCUGGGAAACUGGGUCUAAUACCGGAUAGGAGCCAUUUUUAGUGUGAUGGUUGGAAAGUUUUUUCGGUGUAGGAUGAGCUCGCGGCCUAUCAGCUUGUUGGUGGGGUAAUGGCCUACCAAGGCGGCGACGGGUAGCCGGCCUGAGAGGGUGGACGGCCACAUUGGGACUGAGAUACGGCCCAGACUCCUACGGGAGGCAGCAGUGGGGAAUAUUGCACAAUGGGCGCAAGCCUGAUGCAGCGACGCCGCGUGGGGGAUGACGGCCUUCGGGUUGUAAACUCCUUUCGCUAGGGACGAAGCUUUUUGUGACGGUACCUAGAUAAGAAGCACCGGCUAACUACGU